AUGAACGCUGGCGGCGUGCCUAAUACAUGCAAGUCGAGCGAACAGACGAGGAGCUUGCUCCUCUGACGUUAGCGGCGGACGGGUGAGUAACACGUGGAUAACCUACCUAUAAGACUGGGAUAACUUCGGGAAACCGGAGCUAAUACCGGAUAAUAUAUUGAACCGCAUGGUUCAAUAGUGAAAGACGGUUUUGCUGUCACUUAUAGAUGGAUCCGCGCCGCAUUAGCUAGUUGGUAAGGUAACGGCUUACCAAGGCGACGAUGCGUAGCCGACCUGAGAGGGUGAUCGGCCACACUGGAACUGAGACACGGUCCAGACUCCUACGGGAGGCAGCAGUAGGGAAUCUUCCGCAAUGGGCGAAAGCCUGACGGAGCAACGCCGCGUGAGUGAUGAAGGUCUUCGGAUCGUAAAACUCUGUUAUUAGGGAAGAACAAAUGUGUAAGUAACUAUGCACGUCUUGACGGUACCUAAUCAGAAAGCCACGGUUAACUACGUG
rnacentral:rRNA from 1 species